GCCCUCUCCGAUCAGGAAAUCAUCUCCAAGAUCCUCGAUGGCUUGGACAUGGAGUACAAUCCGGUCGUUUCCGCACUCGCUGCUCGUGUGGAACCCAUCACCGUCCAGGAGCUGUACAACCAGCUACUGAGCUUCGACG
rnacentral:snoRNA from 1 species